UCCGGCAUUGGUAAUGAGGCAGUUUGGCUCAACACAGUCCAGAAUCGACAUUGAAGAAUACCACCAAGGUCGCUUCUACCACGAGCUCAAAGGAGAAGAAGGGUUGAAAAAGGCUCGCAAAUCUUGGGAAAACGUCACUCUGAUGGAAAGAUCGCCUAAAGGCCCUAGCACCUCGGGCGAUUAUCUUAAAUGGAGGGCUGACAGGGACCGAGAACAUUCAACUGUGAAAUUAGAAGACGGCAACCCGCUCCGAGAUGUCCUAUUAGAAGAAACGAAUGGCCAUCUGGAUGACUCACUACGAGAGGCUAAUACUGAGAACUCACAAUUGCAGGAACGAAUAAAACAGCUGAAGGACCAACAGCAGAAACUUAAAAGAAGAGUAAGAAGACUCAAGGAAGAGGAAAGAGCCGAAAGGAUGGAGUUCGAAAAGCAAGAGGUGCAGUGGGAAAAGGAAAAAGACUCUCUUCAAGCUGAGGCCAAAGAAAUAAAAGUGCAGAAUAGUAAGCUUCAGGAAAAGAUGAAAUACCAAGAGAUACUCAUCGAAGAGUAUAAGCAAGAAAACAAAAAGAAGAAGCUUGAAUUAAAAGAACAGGCACUCCUCAUCAACGACAUCUUGAAAGAGUGCGCUAAAGAAAGGAAAGAGAAAGAG
rnacentral:misc_RNA from 1 species